AGUCUCGUAGCUUAGCUGGUAGAGCGUGCGCUGUACAAAGGCGUGUGCGGCAUCCAUACGUAGGUUCGAAUCCCACCGAAGCUG
rnacentral:tRNA from 1 species